UCUGACCUCAAAUCAGGUAGGAAUACCCGCUGAACUUAAGCAUAUCAAUAAGCGGAGGAAAAGAAACUAACAAGGAUUCCCGUAGUAACUGCGAGUGAAGUGGGAAAAGCUCAAAUUUGAAAUCUGGCAGUCUGAUUUUUCAUCUUGGCUGUCCGAAUUGUAAUCUAGAGAAGUGCUACCUGUACUGGACCGUGUAUAAGUCUCCUGGGAUGGAGCAUCAUAGAGGGUGAGAAUCCCGUCUUUGACAUGGACUCCCAGUGCGUUGUGGUAUACUUUCAAAGAGUCGAGUUGUUUGGGAAUGCAGCUCUAAAUGGGUGGUAAACUCCAUC
rnacentral:rRNA from 1 species